rnacentral:rRNA from 1 species
CAGGAUGAACGCUGGCAGCGUGCUUAACACAUGCAAGUCGAACGAAUUCUUCGGAACGAAGCUUCGGCCAAGGGAAGAGAGAAGUGAGUGGCGGACGGGUGAGUAACGCGUGGGUAACCUGCCUCACAUUGGGGGAUACCAGUCGGAAACGACUGCUAAAACCGCAUAAGACCACGGUAUCGCAUGAUACUGAGGCCAAAACUCCGGUGAUGUGAGAUGGACCCGCGUCUGAUUAGCCAGUUGGCGGGGUAACGGCCCACCAAAGCGACGAUCAGUAGCCGACCUGAGAGGGUGAUCGGCCACAUUGGGACUGAGACACGGCCCAAACUCCUACGGGAGGCAGCAGUGGGGAAUAUUGCACAAUGGGGGAAACCCUGAUGCAGCCGACGCCGCGUGAGUGAUGAAGUAUUUCGGUACGUAAAGCUCUAUCAGCAGGAACGAUCAUGACGGUACCUGACUAAGAAGCACCGGCUAAAUACGUGCCAGCCGCAGC